rnacentral:rRNA from 1 species
GUGGGGAAUCUUCCGCAAUGGACGAAAGUCUGACGGAGCAACGCCGCGUGAGUGAUGAAGGUCUUCGGAUUGUAAAGCUCUGUUAAUCGGGACGAAAGAGCCUAGUGUGAAUAAUGCUAGGAAGUGACGGUACCGGAAUAGAAAGCCACGGCUAACUACGUGCCAGCAGCCGCGGUAAUACGUAGGUGGCAAGCGUUGUCCGGAAUUAUUGGGCGUAAAGCGCGCGCAGGCGGAUCUGUAAGUCUGUCUUAAAAGUUCGGGGCUCAACCCCGUGAGGGGAUAGAAACUGCAGAUCUUGAGUAUCGGAGAGGAAAGUGGAAUUCCUAGUGUAGCGGUGAAAUGCGUAGAGAUUAGGAAGAACACCAGUGGCGAAGGCGACUUUCUGGACGAACACUGACGCUGAGGCGCGAAAGCCAGGGGAGCGAACGGGAUUAGAAACCCGGGUAGUCC